AUUCGGCUGACAAGUCCCCAAUGGGACGAAACAUGUGUCCUAGAU
rnacentral:hammerhead_ribozyme from 1 species